rnacentral:rRNA from 1 species
GACGAACGCUGGCGGCGUGCUUAACACAUGCAAGUCGAACGGUAAGGCUCCAGCUUGCUGGGGUACACGAGUGGCGAACGGGUGAGUAACACGUGGGUGACCUGCCCUGCACUUCGGGAUAAGCCUGGGAAACUGGGUCUAAUACCGGAUAGGACCAUGUGUGGAUACUGUGGUGGAAAGUUUUUUCGGUGUGGGAUGGGCCCGCGGCCUAUCAGCUUGUUGGUGGGGUAAUGGCCUACCAAGGCGGCGACGGGUAGCCGGCCUGAGAGGGUGGACGGCCACAUUGGGACUGAGACACGGCCCAGACUCCUACGGGAGGCAGCAGUGGGGAAUAUUGCACAAUGGGCGGAAGCCUGAUGCAGCGACGCCGCGUGGGGGAUGACGGCCUUCGGGCUGUAAACUCCUUUCACCAUCGACGAAGGGUUUCUGACGGUAGAUGGAGAAGAAGCACCGGCUAACUACGUG